rnacentral:rRNA from 1 species
GGGGAUAACAGGCUUAUCUUGUCCAAGAGUUCACAUCGACGACAAGGUUUGGCACCUCGAUGUCGGCUCAUCGCAUCCUGGGGCUGAAGAAGGUCCCAAGGGUUUGGCUGUUCGCCAAUUAAAGCGGUACGUGAGCUGGGUUUAGACCGUCGUGAGACAGGUCGGUCCCUAUCUGGCGUGGGUGUAGGAUGAUUGCGGAGGUAUUCCCCUAGUACGAGAGGAUUGGGGAGUACGACCCUCUGGUGUACCAGUUAUCACGCUAGUGGUACGGCUGGGUAGCUACGGUCGGAACGGAUAAGCGCUGAAUGCAUCUAAGUGCGAAGCCUUCUCUAAGACGAGUCAUCCCUAUCAGACCCCUGGGAGACUACCAGGUUGAUAGGCCGGCGGUGUAAGUGCAGCAAUGCAUUGAGCUAACCGGUACUAAUCGGUCGAUUGGCUUAACUAC